CCCUGUACACUGUACACUGAAUCCUGCAAGACUGGGAUUAAGGGAGUGGGAUGAGCUCUAUAGCCCAGUGAGUAGAAUAAUAAAAUCAGUCAUAAAAUAUGAUCUCAUGGAAUGCGUCAUAACACAGACAAGCCACAUCAAGAGUAAACCUGUCACCACAUAGCCUCAGUAACUUCCGUGCCAGGGCGUAGAAUCGAGCACCUGGUCUUCCUGUCA
rnacentral:lncRNA from 1 species